rnacentral:rRNA from 1 species
UACGGGGGGGGCAAGCGUUGUUCGGAAUUACUGGGCGUAAAGGGCUCGUAGGCGGCCAACUAAGUCAGACGUGAAAUCCCUCGGCUUAACCGGGGAACUGCGUCUGAUACUGGUUGGCUUGAAUCCGGGAGAGGGAUGUGGAAUUCCAGGUGUAGCGGUGAAAUGCGUAGAUAUCAAGAGGAACACCUGAGGUGAAGACGGGUUGCUGGGCUGACACUGACGCUGAGGCGCGAAAGCCAGGGGAGCAAACGGG